rnacentral:misc_RNA from 1 species
AAUACCACUCAAGCUCUUCUGCUUGGUCAUGGAAGAAGAGUAUGCUUGCAUCCUCUCUUCUGAAAUCGAAUGGCGGACUGCCUCAUGUGCCUCGCGUAGUAAGUUCAUCUUUUCGCUUGGAGUGUGAGAUAGUCUCGCCAUCAACCCCCAUACUUCUAA